rnacentral:rRNA from 1 species
CAGGCUACGCGGGGCCGGCCAGCGCCCAUGCCGCUCCCAGCGGUGGUCGUGCCGUCUAAAAUUAGGGCUGCUGUCGUUGUCAGGAAUAGGUGGCGCGAGCGCGGAGGUAAUUAAGCGGGGAGGUUUGGCGAGGGCAGACGCAAACGAAGACAUGAGAGAGAUAGAGAGAGAAGGAGGGGGCGGGGGCGGCACACUUCAGCGUUCUUAGAAGAAGGACCCGGCGACGGCGGCGACGCUCGACGCUACCGCUGCCGCUGCCGCUGCCCCGUCACCAUCAAUCAUGGGUAGGUGCGUUCAGUUUUCCCCGGUAUCUAGAGAGGCAUAUAUCGCGUCGGGGUGCCGCCGGCCAAGUAAAAACGAGCGAUCGACGACGACGCGCUCCCUCAUCCUCAUCCCUCCCUCUUUCGCUCUCCGGAGGACGAUACGGGUACCUGAUGCCCUUCUCCGUCGUCCCGCCGCCCCACCACCGCUAGCUCACGCACCGCCCGCCCAGCGCCCGCCUCCUCACCCCGUGCCCGACGCGGCUCUGCCACGUCUGGCCGCUGCACCACCUCCUCGAGGAGUAGCCCCACCCGCCGGCGCCGCCCGGCCGGCACGUGCGGCGCGGGAAGUUCCCGCCGGCGCGGCGCGACGUCUUCGACGACGUGCGGCGGAUGUUCGCGUCCCUGUGCAGGCACCUCCACGCGCACGCCGCGGGGCGCGUGCGCGCCGUCGUCGACCACGGCCCCCUCAGCCUGUCGUCGCCGCUCGACGACCCGGGGCCGAGGCUGCGCCGCCGGCGGUCCUACGUCCGGACGUAGCACGGCGUCCUCUGGCCGCCGCCGCCGCCGCCCUACCGCUACCACCCCGCGUCGGUCUUCAUGCACGAGGCCAGGUAGGCGCUGGGGUUGAUGCGGCAGCCGGAGCAGCUGGCGUCGCUCUCGCUCACGCAGCGGAAGGCUCCCAGAGCCUCGAGAGCCCACCACACGCGCGACUCGUUCCGCGUCGACGUCCUGCCGAUGCACAGGAUGGGCACCCUCUUCUUCUACUUCCUCCACGACGGCCACGGGUCGCGGUCGUCGAAGGAGAGGGACGAGCAGGAGGGGUGGCGCGAGCUGGCGCGGUUGAGGGCGAUGUUGAGGCAGCUGCUGUGCGACCGGGCGCGGUUGCGGACCAAGGAGCGGAGCGUCCGGCGGCCCCACGGGUAGCGGAAGGAGUUGCAGGUCUGGCUCCGGGAGGAGUGGUUCUAGAGGCCGCUGUACCGGAGCCGCUGCCAGUUGAGCCCCAGUGACCGGCUGGAGGGGUUGGAGCGGUUGCGCUCGGAGAUGCCCAAGCUCCUGAUGGUGCCGCACCUGUAGCCGCACCACUUCCGCCACGCGGAGACCAAGUGGCGCCGGCGGCCUCUUUACGGGCACCUCUAGUGGGAGCUCCUCCCGCUGUGGUUCGAGCCGAAGCGGUAGUCGGCGUGGCUCCUCCCGAAGGAGAUGUAGAGCAGCCACUACCUUCUGCUGUCGCUGGCCGGCUGCGGCAGCUGCGCCAGCCCCGACGCCCUGGAGAUGGCCCUCCGCUUCGCGCGCAGGUUCGACGACCAGUAGAGGGCCCACAGCACGGCGUUCCACGACGGCACCUACCACAGGUGGAGGCCCCGGUAGGCCACGAAGCUGUGGCACAGAGAGUCGGUCUUCGACAGGGACGUGGCCGUGCGGGACGCGGGGUAGGACGAGGUGCACGAGUACACCCUGAAGCCGUGGCUGCGCGGCUUGGCCGGCGUCCCCCGCGGCACGGGCUGCGGCGUCGGCAGGGGCCGCAAGCGGCUCGACGACGCCGUCUUGAGGAAGAGCACCCAGCUGUUGGUCGGCCGCGUCCGCCUGCCGCUCGGCCCCUACCAGGUCCCCUCCCUGUGGCGGCCCCUGCGGAGGAAGUCCAAGGUGUUGAAGAGCGACGGGUUGUUGACCCAGACUUCAAACUACUUUGCGGAGCUGAUGCACGAACCGGCGACACGACAUGUAUACAUGUAGAGCUAAUCGGCCAAACACUACUCUUCUUUGUUGCGAAACGUCACAGUGUCGAAUGACGGGUCUCACCUCACCUGAUAUUGAAACUGGGGAUUUUAUCACAAUGAUCACGAC